AUGGAAUUGAAUGGACUCAAAUGUUAUGGAAUCAAAGGGAAUGGACUCAAAUAGAAUGGACUCAAAAGAAAUGGUCUUGAAUGGAACUUAUUCGAAUAUAAUGUAAUCGAAUGGAAUGUAAUAGUAUGGAAUGGAAUCGAAUGGAAUGGGAUCGAAUGGAUUGGAACGAAAUCGAAUGGAACGGAAUAGAAUAGAUUCGAAUGUAAUGGAUUGUUAUGUAAUUGAUUCGAAUGGAAUGGAAUCGAAUGGAUUGAUAUUAAUUGGAAUGGAAUGGAAGGGAAUGGAAUGGAAUGGAAUUGAAAUGAAUGGAAUGGAAUUGAAUGGAA
rnacentral:misc_RNA from 1 species